rnacentral:rRNA from 1 species
CAAGAGCGUAUGUAAAAGUUGUUGCAGUUAAAAAGCUCGUAGUUGAACCUUGGGUUUGGUUGGCCGGUCCGCUUUUUUGCGAGUACUGGAUUCAACCGAGCCUUUCCUUCUGGCUAACCAGUCGUUUCGGCGGCUGGCGAACCAGGAUUUUUACUUUGAGAAAAUUAGAGUGUUCAAAGCAGGCAUUAGCUUGAAUAUAUUAGCAUGGAAUAAUAGAAUAGGACGUUAUGGUUCUAUUUUGUUGGUUUCUAGGACCAUCGUAAUGAUUAAUAGGGACGGUCGGGGGCAUCAGUAUUCAGUUGUCAGAGGUGAAAUUCUUGGAUUUACUGAAGACUAACUACUGCGAAAGCAUUUGUCAAGGACGUUUUCAUUAA